rnacentral:rRNA from 1 species
AUACGGAGGAUGCGAGCGUUAUCCGGAUUUAUUGGGUUUAAAGGGUGCGUAGGCUGUUUGGUAAGUCAGGGGUGAAAUGCCGUCGCUCAACGACGGAGCUGCCCUUGCUACUGCCGAGCUGGAGUACGGAUGCCGUUGGAGGAAUGAGGGGUGUAGCGGUGAAAUGCAUAGAUAUCACUCAGAACACCGAUUGCGAAGGCAUCUGACGAAUCCGUCACUGACGCUGAGGCACGAAAGCGUGAGGAUAGAACAGGAUUAGAUACCCUGGUAUUCCACGCCGUAAACGAUGAUGACUAACCGCCUGCGAUAUAGUGUAGGUGGCCAAGCGAAAGCGAUAAGUCAUCCACCUGGGGAGUACGACCGCAAGGUUGAAACUCAAAGGAAUUGACGGGG